rnacentral:rRNA from 1 species
CCCUUAGAUGUUCUGGGCCGCACGCGUGCUACACUGAGUGGAUCAGCGGGUCAGGUUGCGCGAAAGUGUUUCCUAAUCUUUAAAUCCGCUCGUGAUGGGGAUUGACGGUUGCAAUUUUCCGUCAUGAACGAGGAAUACCUUGUAAGCGCGGGUCAUCAUCCCGCGCUGAAUACGUCCCUGCCCUUUGUACACACCGCCCGUCGCUCCUACCGAUUGAGUGGUCCGGUGAGGCUUUGGGAUCUGGGCGGAAAGAGCGUUUCGCUGUUUCUGCCCGGAAAACUCAGUCGAACCUUAUCAUUUAGAGGAGGGAGAAGUCGUAACA